rnacentral:misc_RNA from 1 species
AAGUCGUAACAAGGUUUCCGUAGGUGAACCUGCGGAAGGAUCAUUAACAACAUAUCCUAACUAAAAAACCCUGUGAACUUUCAACCCCAAGCUCUUGAUCCGAGGAGUUCAGCAAUCUCUGGUAAAUCAUUGUUGACCAGCUUUUGAGUCAGGGACCUCUGCAGAUUGUGAUAUUUUAUAGCUACGGUUGAGCGAUUGCAUCUAGUGACCUGGCAUCCCCAAGUAAUCAGUGUUCUGAAAGUGUCAUUGAUUGUGUAAGGAUGGCGCAGUCACGAUCGCUGUAGGCCCACACGGCCGGCGACCGGGUCACCGGGCUCUGCUCCUUUACGACAACUACAGUCUAACUUCGCCGCGCGUGAAAUUCGCACGGCACCAAAAACCGAACAACUGUUAACAAUGGAUAUCUUGGUUCUC